AAGACAGUAAAUUGUUAUCCGUCAUCCCACCAGCCUCUCUGAACCAAGGUACAGCUGGCCGGAGCCUGAAGUUCACAGCAAUGGAUGCUUGCGCUAUCAUCCGUUGCUACUAGCAACACCUUGCAGUCUGAUUCUGGCCCUGGAGAGACACUGCUUGGGUUCAAAUCUUGACGCUGUUCCUGAGUGACCUGGGUCAGGCAUCUCCUGCUAAUGCUCGUUGCUCAAGAUGAUUGGAUUUUAACAAGAGCUUUUUGGAUAAAGCAUCAGUCCUUCCCGAACUGUACGUUUUGCAAGCGCCA